rnacentral:rRNA from 1 species
UACGUAGGGUGCGAGCGUUAAUCGGAAUUACUGGGCGUAAAGCGUGCGCAGGCGGUUUUGUAAGUCUGUCGUGAAAUCCCCGGGCUUAACCUGGGAAUUGCGAUGGAGACUGCAAGGCUAGAAUCUGGCAGAGGGGGAUGGAAUUCCGCGUGUAGCAGUGAAAUGCGUAGAUAUGCGGAGGAACACCGAUGGCGAAGGCAAUCCCCUGGGCCUGUACUGACGCUCAUGCACGAAAGCGUGGGGAGCGAAACAAGGAU